rnacentral:rRNA from 1 species
UACGUAGGUGGCGAGCGUUGUCCGGAAUUACUGGGUGUAAAGCGCGCGUAGGCGGUAGGCCAAGUCUGCUGUGAAAUCGCCCGGCUCAACUGGGCGCGGUCGGUGGAAACUGGUCAACUGGAGGACGGUAGAGGCGAGUGGAAUUCCCGGUGUAGUGGUGAAAUGCGUAGAGAUCGGGAGGAACACCAGUGGCGAAGGCGGCUCGCUGGGCCGGACCUGACGCUGAGGCGCGAAGGCGUGGGGAGCGAACGGG